GCUUCUCGUAGCCCUCCUCUUCUUGCCCCUCAUUACUUGGCCUCCCAUAACUAGGCCUCCUCGGUGGCUCCUCCACCUCCGGACUCUCGUAGCUCGGCCUCCCAUACUGUGGCUUCCUGGGGGACCCUUCCCCACCAUAACCAUACCCGCCACCUUGUUCCUCUCCGAAGCUAGGUUUCCGACCGUACCCAGAUCCAUAUUCAGAACUCGGUGCUUCGUACUCAGGCCUCCGACCAUACCCAGAUCCAUACUCCGAACUGGGCUGCUCGAACUCGGGCCUCCGACCAUACCCAGAUCCAUACUCCGAACUAGGUUGCUCGUAUUCAGGCUUCCGACCGUACCCAGAUCCAUAUUCCGUGCUAGGCUGUUCGUAUUCAGGCUUCCGACCGUACCCAGAUCCAUAUUCCGAGCUAGGCUGUUCGUAUUCAGGCUUCCGACCGUACCCAGAUCCAUAUUCCGAGCUAGGCUGUUCGUAUUCAGGCUUCCGACCGUAGCCAGAUCCAUAUUCCGAGCUAGGCUGUUCGCAUUCAGGCUUCCGACCGUACCCGGAUCCGUACUCCGAACUGGGUUCCUCGUAAUCAGGCUUCCGCCCAUGCCCAGAUCCAUACUCACCCUCCCCACCAAAACUCGACGGCGGCUUCGGCUGAUACCCAUACUCACCACCAUCACCACUGCCUCCGAACCCUCCUUGGCCAGGAGGUGGUCCGGCGUAACCAAGGACCGGACGAG
rnacentral:lncRNA from 1 species